UACGAAGGGGGCUAGCGUUGCUCGGAAUUACUGGGCGUAAAGGGCGCGUAGGCGGACAGUUAAGUCAGAGGUGAAAGCCCAGGGCUCAACCCUGGAAUUGCCUUUGAUACUGGCUGUCUUGAGUGCGGGAGAGGUGUGUGGAACUCCGAGUGUAGAGGUGAAAUUCGUAGAUAUUCGGAAGAACACCAGUGGCGAAGGCGACACACUGGCCCGUAACUGACGCUGAGGCGCGAAAGCGUGGGGAGCAAACAGGG
rnacentral:rRNA from 1 species